AAGUGGCCGUGUCCGUUCAGCAAGAGCCCGAUCUACCGAGUGUUAAGCCUCUAGAAGAUGCAGCUCUUCUCAGUCCUACGCUCACAGCAGAUACACAAGAGGACACACAAACUGUUGGAACCCAUACCUUCCGAACCCAUAUCUUCCCCAUGUCUGCUGCAUAAUAGACCACUAACAUUUGUUUAUUCUGUAGUGUAGACCACUAACAUUUGUUUAAUUCUGUAGUGCUGAACACCUCAAACACUAACAUUUGCCUAGUUAUUUUAUUCAUGUAAACACAGUAUAAAUCUGUGCAUUGUUCACCACCGUUCAUCUAUCUCGGAAAUACAAGUAAUAUACAAUUGUCAACCUUCCUUUUAUUUCACCGAAACCUGUGCAUGAACCCGUGACCAUGACUUCCGAGGCAUGCAACCCACAUGACCGAUUGUGGAGGAACCAUCGCAGACUUGAGCAGUCCAAAAACAAUAACCCAGCCAGCCCAGCUCGACGAUGCUAGCCCAUGCAACUCAGGCAGUAACUCGUGACCCCGUUAGACCCAUAGCCCGUGAAACCAUGGAGACCCGAACCAAUAGCAUGAACCGUUGAGAAGCCAGUAGUGUACGCAAGGCAAUACGGGAAGGAGAAGGGUCCGACGAUGGAGACCUCUUGCCGAACUUCGACUUCACGAUCGAAGAAGAGUUGACUUCUACUAACAGGACCCGGUCGGUGGUUUUGAUGGUCGUGGGCAGCACUGACUUCGACGGCUCGUUCCCUCGGAAGGUGACGAGAAGCAUAUAGAAGAAAAAUAACGCGCAGUGCAACGCUCUCUCUGAUCAGGUCCACGAGGACUCCGUCUUCGUGGGCAAGAUCACCCAUCUAUGGCCGAACCGCUUUCCCCCGCGAAUCUUCACUAAGGCCACCGAUACUCUCCCAUGAUGAAUUGAGACAGCACAAAAGGACUAUGUUUGCGCAGGUACUGAAGAUUAUGGAAUGGAUUAACUGCUAGCUUAAGAGAUUUAAAGCUGUGUAGUUAGGAUUUUAGUACUUGUACUCAUAGAUGUUUGUACUAUUUGCUUGUAAUAUGUUUAGACAUUUACUUGUAAUUAAUAAGUUCCAUGCAUGCUUUAGUGUCACAUGUGACAUAUGUUUCUUUGUAAUUAGUGUAAAGACUUUUAAUGUAUUUUCUAGAAGAUGUCAGUUAAAGCUCUGAAUAUAUCGUAAGGGAAUUGUCCCUAUCGGUAAUGUUAAAAAAAAAAAAGAUAUUCGUAUUUUUCCGC